GACAGAGGUGCCAAGCGUUAGGCGGAAUCACUGGGCUUAAAGCGUGUGUAGGCGGAUGUCUAAGUACCUUGUGAAAUCCCACGGCUCAACCGUGGAACUGCUUGGUAUACUGGAUGCCUUGAGCCAUCUAGGGGCUACCGGAACAAAUGGUGGAGCGGUGAAAUGCGUAGAUAUCAUUUGGAACGCCAAUGGUGAAAACAGGUAGCUGGGGAUGUGCUGACGCUGAGACACGAAAGCCAGGGGAGCAAACGGG
rnacentral:rRNA from 1 species